rnacentral:rRNA from 1 species
AUUGAACGCUGGCGGCAGGCCUUACACAUGCAAGUCGAACGAGUGGCGGACGGGUGAGUAAUGUAUGGGAAACUGCCUUAUGGAGGGGGAUAACUACUCGAAACGGUGGCUCAUACCGCAUACCAUCAGAUGUGCCCAUAUGGGCUUAGCUAGUUGGUGGGGUAACGGCGCACCAAGGCGACGAUCCGUAGCUGGUCUGAGAGGAGGACCAGCCACACUGGAACUGAGACACGGGCCAGACUCCUACGGGAGGCAGCAGUGGGGAAUUUUGCACAAUGGGCGAAAGCCUGAUGCAGCCAUGCCGCGUGUAUGAAGAAGGCCUUCGGGUUGUAAAGUACUUUCGGCGGGGAGGCGGUAUCCGCAGAAGAAGCACCGGCUAACUCCGUGCCAGCAGCCGCGGUAAUAC